rnacentral:lncRNA from 1 species
UUUUGAUCUUGAUUUGGGGUCUGAAGAAAUCCCCGUUUUGAUCCUGCAGUUCAAUUUGGUUCGGGGUCCGAAGAAACGGGGAAUCUUUGAUUCCCCUUCCCUAUUCUUUCGAAAAUACUGAACCGGUGAUUCUGGAGAUGACGGCGGUGAAGAUGAUGUCGAUGACGCGGAUCUGUUCGGCUGGCGAAUUUGGUUCGAUAUUUUCAAAAGAGAUUGAAGGGUUCGAAGAAACGGAGAAUCUUUGAUUCCCCUCCCCUCUUCUUUUGAAAAUACCUAACCGGCGAUGCUGGAGAUGACGACGGUAAAGAUGAUGUCGAUGGCGCGGAUCUGUUCGACCGGUGAAUUUGGUUCGAUAUUUUCAAAAGAUAUUGAAGGGUCCAAAGAAACGGGGAAUCUUUGAUUCCCCUCCCCUCUUCUUUCGAAAAUACCGAACCGGCGAUGCUGGAGAUGACGGCGGUGAAGAUGAUGUCGGUGGCGCGAAUCUGUUCGGCCGGCGAAUUUGAUUCGAUAUUUUCAAAACAUGUUGAAGGGUCCAAAGAAACGGGGAAUCGAAGAUUCCCCUCCCCU